AUUGAACGCUGGCGGCAGGCCUAACACAUGCAAGUCGAACGGUAACAGGAAGAAGCUUGCUUCUUUGCUGACGAGUGGCGGACGGGUGAGUAAUGUCUGGGAAACUGCCUGAUGGAGGGGGAUAACUACUGGAAACGGUAGCUAAUACCGCAUAACGUCGCAAGACCAAAGAGGGGGACCUUCGGGCCUCUUGCCAUCGGAUGUGCCCAGAUGGGAUUAGCUAGUAGGUGGGGUAACGGCUCACCUAGGCGACGAUCCGUAGCUGGUCUGAGAGGAUGACCGGCCACACUGGAACUGAGACACGGUCCAGACUCCUACGGGAGGCAGCAGUGGGGAAUAUUGCACAAUGGGCGCAAGCCUGAUGCAGCCAUGCCGCGUGUAUGAAGAAGGCCUUCGGGUUGUAAAGUACUUUCAGCGGGGAGGAGGGGAGUAAAGUUAAUACCUUUGCUCAUUGACGUUACCCGCAGAAGAAGCACCGGCUAACUCCGUG
rnacentral:rRNA from 1 species